GUUGGUGAACCAGCGGAGGGAUCAUUACUGAGUUGCAAAACUCCAAACCACUGUGUUCUUUGCUGUUCUGUUGCCUCGGCAGGCCGUCCCAGGGCGGGACCUUUGUCCAGCCUGCCGAAAGCACACCAUAAACUCCUCUGAACCUGUCUUCUGAAGCACUAUAAAAUAAGUAAAAACUUUCAACAACGGAUCUCUUGGUUCUGGCAUCGAUGAAGAACGCAGCAUCUGACUGACUGAACUGUAUCUCAUC
rnacentral:misc_RNA from 1 species